GAUGAAGAACGUAGCGAAAUGCGAUACUUGGUGUGAAUUGCAGAAUCCCGUGAACCAUCGAGUCUUUGAACGCAAGUUGCGCCCGAAGCCAUUAGGCCGAGGGCACGCCUGCCUGGGCGUCACACGUCGUUGCCCCCCCAUCUACUCCUUCGGGAUUGCGGGGGGCGGAUGAUGGCCUCCCGUGCGCCUCGCCGCGCGGUUGGCAUGAAUGCCAAGUCCUCGGCGACGCACGCCACGACAAUCGGUGGUUGCGAAACCUCGGUUGCCCGUCGUGUGCGGUCGUCGCGCAUCGAGGGCUCGAAAAAAUUGCCGGGUUCCGGCUCGGCUUUCAACGCGACCCCAGGUCAGGCGGGGUUACCCGCUGAAUUUAAGCAUAUCAAUAAGCGGAGGA
rnacentral:misc_RNA from 1 species